UAGAGUUUGAUCCUGGCUCAGAGCGAACGCUGGCGGCAUGCUUAACACAUGCAAGUCGCACGGUAUGGGGGCAACUCCAUGCAGUGGCGGACGGGUGAGUAACGCGUAGGAAUCUAUCCUUGGAUGGGGGACAACCGUGGGAAACUACGGCUAAUACCGCAUGAUGCCUGAGGGCCAAAGCUCGUGAGAGCGUCUGGGGAGGAGCCUGCGUCUGAUUAGGUAGUUGGUGGGGUAAAGGCCUACCAAGCCUGCGACACAGUAGCUGGUCUGAGAGGAUGAUCACGCCACACUUGGGAGCUGAGAACANCGGCNACAAAACUACCUACCGGGAUGGGCAGGACAAGUGGGGAAUACUUGGAACAACUGGGGGCAAGCCCUGAUGCCACGUCAAUGCCCGUCGUGGGUGAAUGAAGGUUUUACGGAAUUGUAAAGACCCUUUUGGCCGGGGA
rnacentral:rRNA from 1 species